UACCUGUGCAGGGAAAAUGGAACUUGGGAG
rnacentral:piRNA from 2 species